UGUUGCGUGACUUUCUUUCCGUGCUUUCCAUUCGUGAGGUCGUAUCUUGUCGUCGGCUCGCUCUUGCCGUGGCUGGCUGACUGAAGCAGUGUCACUCAGUGUUCGCGAAAAGCAGCCUCCGGACGGAGAAGUCCCUGCAGUAAGCAUCUUUUCCUCAUGAACUUAACUGAGUAGGAUGGCAGCGCAUGACGGAUCCCAGUGGCACCGAAAGAUGACGGCCGCGGACGACGCUCCUACGAUCGUUAUAGUUUGCGGGUUGCACCAAGACUCACAUUG
rnacentral:lncRNA from 1 species